GAAAAUGAUGGUUAUUUAUUGUCAUCUGAUUUGUAUCUCAUAUUUGGAUGCAAAAUUAGUGAUUGACACCAUUUUAUCUGAUUC
rnacentral:snoRNA from 1 species